rnacentral:rRNA from 1 species
CCUACGGGGGGCAGCAGUGGGGAAUAUUGGACAAUGGGGGCAACCCUGAUCCAGCCAUGCCGCGUGUGUGAAGAAGGCCCUCGGGUUGUAAAGCACUUUCAGUGAGGAAGAACGCCUGGUGGUUAAUACCCAUCAGGAAAGACAUUACUCACAGAAGAAGCACCGGCUAACUCCGUGCCAGCAGCCCCGGUAAUACGGAGGGUGCCAGCGUUAAUCGGAAUUACUGGGCGUAAAGCGCGCGUAGGUGGCUUGAUAAGCCGGUUGUGAAAGCCCCGGGCUCAACCUGGGAACGGCAUCCGGAACUGUCAAGCUAGAGUGCAGGAGAGGAAGGCAGAAUUCCCGGUGUAGCGGUGAAAUGCGUAGAGAUCGGGAGGAAUACCAGUGGCGAAGGCGGCCUUCUGGACCGACACUGACACUGAGGUGCGAAAGCGUGGGUAGCAAACAGGAUUAGAUACCCUAGUAGUC